UGGGGAAUUUUGGACAAUGGGCGAAAGCCUGAUCCAGCCAUGCCGCGUGCAGGAUGAAGGCCUUCGGGUUGUAAACUGCUUUUGUACGGAACGAAACGGCCUUUUCUAAUAAAGAGGGCUAAUGACGGUACCGUAAGAAUAAGCACCGGCUAACUACGUGCCAGCAGCCGCGGUAAUACGUAGGGUGCAAGCGUUAAUCGGAAUUACUGGGCGUAAAGCGUGCGCAGGCGGUUAUGUAAGACAGUUGUGAAAUCCCCGGGCUCAACCUGGGAACUGCAUCUGUGACUGCAUAGCUAGAGUACGGUAGAGGGGGAUGGAAUUCCGCGUGUAGCAGUGAAAUGCGUAGAUAUGCGGAGGAACACCGAUGGCGAAGGCAAUCCCCUGGACCUGUACUGACGCUCAUGCACGAAAGCGUGGGGAGCAAACAGGAUUAGAUACCCUGGUAGUCCACGCCCUAAACGAUGUCAACUGGUUGUUGGGUCUUCACUGACUCAGUAACGAAGCUAACGCGUGAAGUUGACCGCCUGGGGAGUACGGCCGCAAGGUG
rnacentral:rRNA from 1 species